AUUGAACGCUGGCGGCAGGCCUAACACAUGCAAGUCGAGCGGAUGAAGGGAGCUUGCUCCUGGAUUCAGCGGCGGACGGGUGAGUAAUGCCUAGGAAUCUGCCUGGUAGUGGGGGAUAACGUCCGGAAACGGGCGCUAAUACCGCAUACGUCCUGAGGGAGAAAGUGGGGGAUCUUCGGACCUCACGCUAUCAGAUGAGCCUAGGUCGGAUUAGCUAGUUGGUGGGGUAAAGGCCUACCAAGGCGACGAUCCGCAACUGGUCUGAGAGGAUGAUCAGUCACACUGGAACUGAGACACGGUCCAGACUCCUACGGGAGGCAGCAGUGGGGAAUAUUGGACCAUGGGCGAAAGCCUGAUCCAGCCAUGCCGCGUGUGUGAAGAAGGUCUUCGGAUUGUAAAGCACUUUAAGUUGGGAGGAAGGGCAGUAAGUUAAUACCUUGCUGUUUUGACGUUACCAACAGAAUAAGCACCGGCUAACUUCGUG
rnacentral:rRNA from 1 species